rnacentral:rRNA from 1 species
GAUGAACGCUGGCGGCGUGCCUAAUACAUGCAAGUCGAGCGAACGGACGAGAAGCUUGCUUCUCUGAUGUUAGCGGCGGACGGGUGAGUAACACGUGGAUAACCUACCUAUAAGACUGGGAUAACUUCGGGAAACCGUAGCUAAUACCGGAUAAUAUUUUGAACCGCAUGGUUCAAAAGUGAAAGACGGUCUUGCUGUCACUUAUAGAUGGAUCCGCGCUGCAUUAGCUAGUUGGUAAGGUAACGGCUAACCAAGGCAACGAUGCAUAGCCGACCUGAGAGGGUGAUCGGCCACACUGGAACUGAGACACGGUCCAGACUCCUACGGGAGGCAGCAGUAGGGAAUCUUCCGCAAUGGGCGAAAGCCUGACGGAGCAACGCCGCGUGAGUGAUGAAGGUCUUCGGAUCGUAAAACUCUGUUAUUAGGGAAGAACAUAUGUGUAAGUAACUGUGCACAUCUUGACGGUACCUAAUCAGAAAGCCACGGCUAACUACGUG